GAGAGAGACAUGCGCGCAUAUCAAUAAGCGGAGGAAAAGAAACUAACAAGGAUUCCCCUAGUAACGGCGAGUGAAGCGGGAAGAGCUCAAAUUUGAAAUCUUAAAGGGUUUCCCUUUACGAAUUGUAGUUUAAAGAAGUGUUUUCUGUUGAGGUUUUGGUAAAAGUUCUUUGGAAUAGGACAUCAUAGAGGGUGAGAAUCCCGUAUUUGACCUUUACUUUCAACUUUGUGAUACACUUUCAAAGAGUCGGAUUGUUUGGGAAUGCAGUCCAAAAUGGGUGGUGAAUUUCAUCUAAAGCUAAAUAUUGGCGAGAGACCGAUAGCGAACAAGUACCGUGAGGGAAAGAUGAAAAGAACUUUGAAAAGAGAGUUAAACAGUACGUGAAAUUGUCAAAAGGGAAGCGUUUGACACCAGUGUUGUUUUUCUGAAAAUCAAUUAAAGAACUGUUUAUGCUAAGCUGUUUAGACUUUAUCAGCUAUCUGUUUAGUUUUGAGCUUUUCUUUAAUGCACUUUUCAGUUAACAAGUCAACAUCAAUUUCUUUUGCUGUAAAAAAGCUUGAGGAAGGUGGCUUGAGAUUCGUCUUAAGUGUUUAUAGCCUCUUGCCUAUGCAGUCGGAGAGAUUGAGGUCUGCAGCGUAGAUCCUUCGGGGCUAAAUGCAUUUGUGCUAAGUUAUAGCAUUUUAUAGACAACUUGUUGACUAUGAUUUGUCUUGUAGCUUACUCGCUUAUGUUAUUUUACCUACGCUUAGGAUGUUGACGCAUGAGAUAUACGC
rnacentral:rRNA from 1 species